rnacentral:tRNA from 1 species
GGUCCUGUGGUCUAGUGGUAUGAUUCUCGCUUAGGGAUUAGCGUCCUGAACUAAGCAUUCUUGCGAGAGGCCCCGCGUUCGAGUCGCGGCAGGACCC